rnacentral:rRNA from 1 species
UACGUAGGCAGCGAGCGUUGUUCGGAGUUACUGGGCGUAAAGGGUGUGUAGGCGGUUGUUUAAGUUUGGUGUGAAAUCUCCCGGCUCAACUGGGAGGGUGCGCCGAAUACUGAAUAACUAGAGUGCGGGAGAGGAAAGUGGAAUUCCUGGUGUAGCGGUGAAAUGCGUAGAUAUCAGGAGGAACACCGGUGGUGUAGACGGCUCUCUGGACCGUAACUGACGCUGAGACACGAAAGCGUGGGUAGCAAACAGG